UACGAAGGGGGCUAGCGUUGCUCGGAAUCACUGGGCGUAAAGGGCGCGUAGGCGGCGUUUUAAGUCGGGGGUGAAAGCCUGUGGCUCAACCACAGAAUGGCCUUCGAUACUGGGACGCUUGAGUAUGGUAGAGGUUGGUGGAACUGCGAGUGUAGAGGUGAAAUUCGUAGAUAUUCGCAAGAACACCGGUGGCGAAGGCGACUUACUGGACGACUGUUGACACUGAGGUGCGAAAGCGUGGGGAGCAAACAGG
rnacentral:rRNA from 1 species